rnacentral:misc_RNA from 1 species
GAAAUGCGAUAAGUAAUGUGAAUUGCAGAAUUCAGUGAAUCAUCGAAUCUUUGAACGCACCUUGCGCUCCUUGGUAUUCCUUGGAGCAUGCCUGUUUGAGUAUCAUGAAAUCUUCAAAGUAAAUCUUUUGUUAACUCAAUUGGUUUCUACUUUGGUAUUGGAGGUCUUUGCAGCUUCACACCUGCUCCUCUUUGUUCAUUAGCUGGAUCUCAGUGUUAUGCUUGGUUCCACUCGGCGUGAUAAGUUAUCUAUCGCUGAGGACCCUGUAAAAGGUUGCCAAGGUAAAUGCAGAUGAACCGCUUCUAAUAGUCCAUUGACUUGGACAAUACUUUUAUGAUCUGAUCUCAAAUCAGGUAGGACUACCCGCUGAACUUAAGC